rnacentral:rRNA from 1 species
UACGGAGGGUGCGAGCGUUAAUCGGAAUUACUGGGCGUAAAGCGUGCGUAGGCGGCCCGCCAAGCCAGGUGUGAAAGCCCCGGGCUUAACCUGGGAACGGCACUUGGAACUGGCGGGCUAGAGUCUGGGAGAGGGGAGUGGAAUUCCGGGUGUAGCGGUGAAAUGCGUAGAGAUCCGGAGGAACACCAGUGGCGAAGGCGACUCCCUGGCCCAAGACUGACGCUGAGGUACGAAAGCGUGGGUAGCAAACAGG